rnacentral:lncRNA from 1 species
UACAUUUUGGUGUGUUACAACAGUCUCCAGUCUCUUCUACCUAAUAUGUUAAUGACUAUAUGUUUUUUUUCCUUACUCUUAAUUCGCCAUUGAUUAAAGGAAAUGAGAGAUAACAGAAGUAAUCAAGCUUUCAAAAAGAAAAUUUUUGGAAAAUAAACACUGGAUACUCAGAACAUAUAAGAUGGAGAAAAAAGUAUUUGAUACCUUGGUAAUUUUGUAGGUUUGCCCAUUGACAAGUAUUUUAUAAGGGAUUGAGGUCCGGAGACUGGUUAGGCCACUCCAUUGCCUGGUUAUACUUCUUUUUGAGCAACUCUUUUGUUUCUAUGACAGUGUGUUUUGGGUGGUUCUAAGGUGUUUCGCCCACAAUUUUCGCCCUGUAGAAGUCUAGACCUCACAUAUAUUAUGGUAAAUAUAUAUCUUUUCACAUAUGAUUUAAGGUUUAAAAUGAAUCUUUCUUCAUCUGAAGUAAUUUGUAAUAGAUAUUUGCGUCUUUAGCAUAAAAUGAGUGCAUUUAAUUCAAUUCUAAUACCUUUAAAAUAGAAAAUAUGAAUGUUGCACCUUUUAUAAUGAGUUCCAACUGAAUUUUUUAUAUAUUAUGAAUCAACCCUUGAGUUAGAAAGUACUCGAUUCGGGCCUUUUACUUUUGUCUAUUACAUCAGAACAACAAUUAUAAUAGUGUUUUAUUCUAAUAAAAAAGUCGGUUCAAACUCGUUUAAAAAGUGCCACAUUCAUGUUUGAUAUAUAUUUUCUAUUUUCAAUAUAUUAAAAUUGAAUUAAAACACUCUUAUUUCAAGUUAUUCUUUAAAAAAAAAAGAAUUACAAAUUACUUUAAGUGAAAGAAGAGGCAUUAAAUUAAGUACAAAGAUACAUUGAUGUUAUAAUGUAUAUAUUAAA